rnacentral:rRNA from 1 species
CAUGGUCUUAGCUUGCUAAGGCUGAUGGCGACCGGCGCACGGGUGAGUAACACGUAUCCAACCUGCCGUCUACUCUUGGCCAGCCUUCUGAAAGGAAGAUUAAUCCAGGAUGGGAUCAUGAGUUCACAUGUCCGCAUGAUUAAAGGUAUUUUCCGGUAGACGAUGGGGAUGCGUUCCAUUAGAUAGUAGGCGGGGUAACGGCCCACCUAGUCAACGAUGGAUAGGGGUUCUGAGAGGAAGGUCCCCCACAUUGGAACUGAGACACGGUCCAAACUCCUACGGGAGGCAGCAGUGAGGAAUAUUGGUCAAUGGGCGAUGGCCUGAACCAGCCAAGUAGCGUGAAGGAUGACUGCCCUAUGGGUUGUAAACUUCUUUUAUAAAGGAAUAAAGUCGGGUAUGCAUACCCGUUUGCAUGUACUUUAUGAAUAAGGAUCGGCUAACUCCGUGCCAGCAGCCGCGGUAAUACGGAGGAUCCGAGCGUUAUCCGGAUUUAUUGGGUUUAAAGGGAGCGUAGAUGGAUGUUUAAGUCAGUUGUGAAAGUUUGCGGCUCAACCGUAAAAUUGCAGUUGAUACUGGAUGUCUUGAGUGCAGUUGAGGCAGGCGGAAUUCGUGGUGUAGCGGUGAAAUGCUUAGAUAUCACGAAGAACUCCGAUUGCGAAGGCAGCCUGCUAAGCUGCAACUGACA